UACGGAGGGGGCGAGCGUUAUUCGGAAUUAUUGGGCGUAAAGGGCGCGUAGGCGGCUGAACAAGUCAAAGGUGAAAUCCCUCGGCUCAACUGAGGAACUGCCUUUGAAACUGUCUGGCUUGAGGCCGGGAGGGGGUAGCGGAAUUCCCAAUGUAGCGGUGAAAUGCGUAGAUAUUGGGAGGAACACCAGUGGCGAAGGCGGCUACCUGGACCGGUUCUGACGCUGAGGCGCGAAAGCGUGGGUAGCAAACAGG
rnacentral:rRNA from 1 species